UUGAAGCCACUUAAAGACAGAAAGGA
rnacentral:piRNA from 1 species